UGGACCAAGCCAGCCGCAAGCAAUCACCGCGGUGAUAUUAAUCUCAGGCUUUAGUUCGCUGAUUUACCACACGUCCGUAUGUGCAGCUUAUAGUUAGCUGACUGGGUGUGUACAGCAGGUCAAAGCACGAUCAAGAUCAAUCACGGGCUUUGUUUCGCAGCUUAACUUAGUCGGUUGUUAAUGUAUCGGCUAACCAGGCUUUCCGCUUGGUGCGUCUACUCAAUGCGGUAUCCGGCUUAUAAACCCGUCGGGUCGUUCUUCCGUAGGCCGUAUGGGACUAAACAAGAAAUACCUAUACGGUACUCCGUACAAAAUACUGUAGCCGUCCGUAGGAAUCCUGCGCCGUCAAAUUGUCAAAAUCCUCGUGCCCCGCCUCGCAGGCCUCGCCCAGCCGCAGCCGGCAGCCCCGUCCCACCCGCGCUGCCUUGCCAGGCCCCGUCCCUCCCGCCAUGGAUCUCGCUGCACCACGCCACCACCCAACCGGCCAACCGUCGACCGCAUCUCCUUGGCCUUGGCCCUCCAUCUCGUGCAGCGACCGCCGUCAAGACCGACCGCCCCUUUCCCAACCAGCGGCUCUCCCGGCUGUCCUGUUCCCUUCCCCUGCAUCUCCUCCUGGCUCCCGCUGCUCCUUUCCUGAAACCCCCAACAGCAGGAGCAUUGUUUGUGAAGGCAAAGUUUGAACCAUUGAGCUGAUCGAUGAAUGAGGUGUGGCUGGAUGGAGGAAGUAGCCUGUGAAGAGUUCGGUAUAGGAGACCCACAUCUUGAAGAUAUUAUCGGAGACAUUGAUCAGGACAAUGACGGCUGAAUCGACUACAAUGAAUUCGUAACGAUACAUGAUAUUAUUUUAGACAAACCGGCACAGCCUAAUCGCUGAACUGCCACAGUUUUCAAGUGGAAAACAAGACAAGACGGAAAAAAGACUCGAUUGAGCGAUACAUAAACCAUCCGGACCGGUGGAAACCACCCCGGACUGGUGCAUUAGACUAAACUUAGUCCAACAUAACUGCGAAAACACAUGUAUCGUUCAUAAAUCAAUCGAGUCCGGUUGAAAAAGUCAUGUUGAAACAUUUUUUACUAUAUUCCGUACAUAAAUCAAUGUUACAUAUUUUUUUACCAAAUGAGCCCCUAGUUUUGCCCCAAGUAAAAAAAUAGUUUGGCCAAAUUUAGAAAAAAAAACUACCAAAAUCUACAACUAUAAAUUAGUUCUGUUAAAUCUGCCAUGAUAUAUAUUUUAUAAUAUA